GAAGAACGCUGGCGGCGUGCCUAAUACAUGCAAGUCGAGCGAACAGACGAGGAGCUUGCUCCUCUGACGUUAGCGGCGGACGGGUGAGUAACACGUGGAUAACCUACCUAUAAGACUGGGAUAACUUCGGGAAACCGGAGCUAAUACCGGAUAAUAUAUUGAACCGCUUGGUUCAAUAGUGAAAGACGGUUUUGCUGUCACUUAUAGAUGGAUCCGCGCCGCAUUAGCUAGUUGGUAAGGUAACGGCUUACCAAGGCAACGAUGCGUAGCCGACCUGAGAGGGUGAUCGGCCACACUGGAACUGAGACACGGUCCAGACUCCUACGGGAGGCAGCAGUAGGGAAUCUUCCGCAAUGGGCGAAAGCCUGACGGAGCAACGCCGCGUGAGUGAUGAAGGUCUUCGGAUCGUAAAACUCUGUUAUUAGGGAAGAACAAAUGUGUAAGUAACUAUGCACGUCUUGACGGUACCUAAUCAGAAAGCCACGGCUAACUACGUG
rnacentral:rRNA from 1 species